rnacentral:rRNA from 1 species
UUGGAGGGCAAGUCUGGUGCCAGCGGCCGCGGUAAUUCCAGCUCCAAUAGCGUAUAUUAAAGUUGUUGCAGUUAAAAAGCUCGUAGUUGAAUUUCGGAAUCUGUCCAUUGGUCGGGCUUCACUGUCCGUACAGGUGUGGUGGGUUCUUACCUUCUGAAUAACCAGCAUGCCAUUUAUUUGGUGCGUUGGGGAAGCAGGACUAUUACCUUGAAAAAAUUAGAGUGCUCAAAGCAGGCUAGUGCCUGAAUACAUUAGCAUGGAAUAAUGAAAUAGGACGUUUGAUCUUAUUUCGUUGGUUUCUAAGAUCGACGUAAUGAUUAAUAGGGAUAGUUGGGGGCAUUAGUAUUCAAUUGUCAGAGGUGAAAUUCUUGGAUUUAUUGAAGACUAACUACUGCGAAAGCAUUUGCCAAGGAUGUUUUCAUUAAUCAAGAACGAAAGUUAGGGGAUCGAAGACGAUCAGAUACCGUCGUAGUCUUAACCAUAAACUAUGCCGACUAGGGAUCGGAUGAUGUUAAUUUUUUAAUGACUCAUUCGGCGCCUUACGGGAAAC